UAGGGAAUUUUCCACAAUGGACGAAAGUCUGAUGGAGCAACGCCGCGUGCAGGAUGAAGGCUUUCGGGUCGUAAACUGCUUUUAUGUGCGAGGAUUAUGACAGUAACACAUGAAUAAGGGUCGGCUAACUACGUGCCAGCAGCCGCGGUCAUACGUAGGACCCAAGCGUUAUCCGGAAUUACUGGGCGUAAAGAGUUGCGUAGGUGGCAAAGUAAGUAAGGUGUGAAAUCACACGGCUCAACCGUGUACACAUGCUUUAAACUGCUUCGCUAGAGAACGAGAGAGGUAGAUGGAAUUCCCAGUGUAGGAGUGAAAUCCGUAGAUAUUGGGAGGAACACCGAUGGCGUAGGCAGUCUACUGGCUCGUUUCUGACACUAAGGCACGAAAGCGUGGGGAGCAA
rnacentral:rRNA from 1 species